GGUUUUGGAAACCUUGUCUAAAAGUCGGUUUCCUUGCCCCGCCGUGUUUCUGAAGCGCGAGGCCGUGGUGGAGGCUGGCAGGGAGCGGAGGAGCGCCGGCCAACAUGCAGCUCCCGGUCAGAUGUAGCAGGAGGAUUUUCCUGGCUGUUUGUGUAAUCCUCUUUGUGGGAUGCACAGUGCAAGGUGCCCCCGCGCACAGGGCGCGCUACAAGCGGCUGCGGUGCCGGCCCGACGCCUGGUCCCCCAACUGCGUAGAGGAGACGGGGCCCUGGUUCCAGCUGCCCGACGGCGCGGCCAACAGGAUCCUGCCGCCCCUGGCCGCCCCUGCCCUGACGAAGAGGUACCGGGAGCCGGGCGACGCCUUCCCGCUCUCCGAGGAGCAGUCGGGCUCGGGCUGGGAGGCGGCGCUGGAGCCGGGCUCGGGCUCGGGAGCUGAGGCCAUUC
rnacentral:lncRNA from 1 species